CACAGCUUUUCUGGCACCUAAAUGCAACAAAACAUCAUUUAUAAACACAAUCUAUUAAUAUGGUUUUUGAACACUAUUAUUUGUUUACGGGCAUGAUAACUGUACUUUUAGUUUAUGGUAGACACAGCUUGUUCGCACAUUUUCCAAUUUUACCACUAGUUAUGAACGCAACAUGAGUUUCUACAUCCCCCUCUCUUGUUAAAUAAAAGUGCCACCACUGAAAUACGCCUGUUACUUCCUGCCUCGUUGGGUGUUUGUCUGUCUUUUUCGAAACCAUCAUAGAGCAUUUUCAUUUAAUGCAAGAUAUUGGACCUGUUUCCCAACCCAGAGUACCACUGCACACCUGCCUGUCUACCAGCCCAGAUCAGCCCACAGUACCACUGCUGUUCACCUGCUUGUCUAUCUGUCCACGAUGAAGCUCAUCUUGACUCUCUCUCUCAUCUGCAUUCACUUCUGCUCAGUUGAGAUGCUGCAGUGUUUCAACUGUACUGAUGCAGCAUGUACAAACUCUUCUUUAGUUACCUGUCCAUCCUCAAAUGAAAGAUGUCUCACUGCAACCAGAACCAUACAAGGUCCCGAUAAUACCACCGUGGUACUCAAAAUGUGUUCACCAUCCUCCAUCUGUGUAACUCCUCUUAACACUGAAGUCACAGUGUCAGGGAACUUGGGCAUCAUAAGGGCUGCCUCUAACCAGCUCUGCUGUAACACCAAUGGGUGCAACAAGGAAACUCUGUCUGUACUUGGCUCAAUCAAUUAUAUGGUGAACAUCCAGGGCUGUACAUCUACCAACGUGUGCAACUAUAUUGAUCAACUGCUGCCCUCAAGUUACAUCAACUUUGUGCAAUUCACCUGUAACACAGCCCCUUUACCUGUAACUGUAACCAAAGCCCAUAACACAGCCUGGUCCAUUAGACUGAGCCUAGUCCCUCUGCUGCUGGGCCUCACUAUCAGCAAACUCAUCUGAUAUAAACAGAGAUGAACAUAUCGGGACUCAUCUGACAACAUAAUGCAUUGAUUACAAAACAACAGAAUGUACAAUGAUUUUUAUGUAUUGUGAAAUACGUACUAUAAUUGAAAAUCUGUUGUUUAUAUGGAAUUUGCCAGAUGAUGCCCUGUGACAUUAUAUAUGCUUGCUUGAGGAAAUACUUUCUUAUAUAUUAUUCUGUAUAUUUGAUAAAGUGGGAUUGCUUGUAAGUUUAAAACAAAUAAUCUGUCAAUGCCAAUAAAGUUUCUAUCACUUUACCAAAAUGGAAAUAAAGUGUUAUCUUAUUGUGAACGUAAACCAAUCACACAAUAUUUUUUAUUUUAUUAGGAAUUAAUGCUUAUUUGAUUUUUUAACAGAUAGGGAUAAUAGCUAAUUAACACUCUUAAAUCCAAAUAAUAACAGAGUGUAUGGGAGAACCUAAUCAUACAGAAUGCUACCGUCCAAACAGAAAAUAAACUUAGACAGUCUUUUUUAUUUGACUUAGUGGAUUCAGUUUCUCUCUACACUUCUUCUACAGAGGAGAGGAAAACCUGCCGGGGAACAGGAUGUGUCUAUAAAGGAGAGGAAGGUGUGGUCUGCCGUGAAGCGUUCCACUUGGAUCAUACAGAAUGGCACCAUGCCAGCAGUGGCAGCCGCUGCCUUAUUCCCCUCCAUGUUUACCUCCACAAAGGCCUUAUGUGUCACGUGUAUAAUUGAUUGAUUGGAGACAGGCGCAGGAAUACGUAAUAGGGGGUUUAAAAUCGUGCAACAUUUCAACGUCCUGCUACUCAUGGCAGGAAUAUAGUUUAUGCAUAUUAUUAGUAUGUGUGGAUAGAAAACACUCUGAAGUCUCUAAAACUGGUUAAAUCAUGUCUGUGGCUUUAACAGAACGUGUUUAGGAGUAAAAAUCCAGAGGAAAACAAAAAGUCAUCCGCCAGUCUAUGUAUUGUCUACGGCGAAAAUAGAUACAGACCCGUUUACAAUGCCUACAGCUUCCACACAAUGUCGCCAGUACUGGCAUUUUAUUAGCAGUUUAUCCUUGGUGUGAUGACGAAUAGGCACUUCCUGUCUUGGGGUCCACCGAAGGAAGUUAUGAAAGGGAAAAUAUGGACGAUGAUUUCAAGACUUGCUGCUAUCGAAUACAGAUCGCCCCGUGAUAAAUUUUAUCGAUUAUUAACGUUUAUUAAUACCUAAAGUUGGUUUACAAAAGUAGUUUGAAGUGAUUUGUAAAAGUUUAUAGGCAACUUUUAGUAAUUUUAUACAAUGACGUUGCGUUUUGGAAAGGCGCUUUUUCCUG
ensembl:lncRNA